ensembl:lncRNA novel transcript
AGCUUCCCAGCAGCUUUGUUUACCUAAGCAAGCCUGGGCAAUGGCGGGCGCCCCUCCCCCAGCCUCGCUGCUGCCUUGCAGUUUGAUCUCAGACUGCUGUGCUAGCAAUCAGCGAGACUCCGUGGGCGUAGGACCCUCCGAGCCAGGUGUGGGAUGUAAUUUCGUGGUGCGCCGUUUUUUAAGCCCGUCGGAAAAGCGCAGUAUUCGGGUGGGAGUGACCCGAUUUUCCAGUGAGAUGAACCCGGUACCUCAGAUGGAAAUGCAGAAAUCACCCAUCUUCUGCGUCGCUCACGCUGGGAGCUGUAGACCUGAGCUGUUCCUAUUCGGCCAUCUUGGCUCCUCCCCCCAGAUGAGGAAGCUGGAACUUGUAGGGGAUUUAAGAACCUAGCCACACAUCAAGCACUUGGUAAGAGGUGAAGCUAUCUAUGGUUUGGUGACUCCAAGCUUUCAGCUUUACAUUAUUCUGCCUCUCCUCAUCUGCUUCUGCAGGCGGUCAUGUUAGCACAGAUCAAAGUCAUGCCAUGGUCCCAGUACCUUUUUUCUUUUCAAAAGUUAUCUCAAGUUGU